rnacentral:tmRNA from 1 species
AUUGGUUUACCAACAAUGACAAUUAUUAAAUUUCAUAAUAAACUUUGUGAACGUGGGGGCAGUAACCACCAACUCUACCAUUUUCAACUUAUGGGGGUUAACUAGGAUCGACGAAUGUCUAAAGGUUAUUCUUUCUUUC